rnacentral:rRNA from 1 species
AGAGUUUGAUCCUGGCUCAGAAUCAACGCUGGCGGCGUGCCUAACACAUGCAAGUCGAACGAGAAAGUGGAGCAAUCCACGAGUACAGUGGCGACCGGGUGAGUAACACGUGACUACCUGCCCUCGAGUGGGGAAUAACUCCGGGAAACCGGGGCUAAUACCGCAUAACAUCGCAAGAUCAAAGCAGUGAUGCGCUUGAGGAGGGGGUCGCGGCUGAUUAGCUAGUUGGUAGGGUAAUGGCCUACCAAGGCGAAGAUCGGUAUCCGGCCUGAGAGGGCGCACGGACACACUGGAACUGAAACACGGUCCAGACUCCUACGGGAGGCAGCAGUGGGGAAUUUUGCGCAAUGGGGGAAACCCUGACGCAGCAACGCCGCGUGGAGGAUGAAGGCCCUUGGGUCGUAAACUCCUUCGACCGGGACG